GUUUCUUUGAUAACAUACCUGUGGCACAAGCAAAAUCGCAAACUCAGUGUUCGAAUAGCAAUCGAUGUUGAACAAUCAGAAAAAAAAAUAAACAGAAAAAUCCUGGUCGCAGGUUACUAGUACAGUAAAUAACAUCACGACGCCGAUAAACAAGCACACAUAAGUUAAGAUAUCAAUUUAGUGGUCGAUUAAGUUAUUAUUGAAUUAGAAUCAACAAAUGGAUGUUCUGUUAUCAGUUAGAUUUGUGAACCUGCUCUAGUGUGGUGUGAGACUAUUAUAUACAUUAUAAUAUAACGUAUUAUAUUUUUGUGCCGCGAAAGUAUCUUUCCGGAAACUAAGAAGAUGUUUAAUAGUAUGGCAAACAAGUCUUUUCGAAAUACCGAAGCAGGAACCGAAUUGAAUAAAAUUAACGUCAAUGGAAAAAUCAAAGCAACCACCACUUGCACCCCUGAGGUUUGUAGAUCAGCAAGACAGCAAUUCCAGCCACCAAACUUAGCAGAGAAUAGUCCUUGGAACCAGAAGAAAACAUAUUUCUUCAUCGCAGUGAUCGUGCUUUUGCUCGUCUGGAUCAUUAUUUACUCCAUUGUUAGUGAAUUGAAGUUGGUGUGAUGGUAGUUGCGGAAUUUGUGAUUAGUGUGAGAAUUUUUACCAAAAACUAUGUGCUAGGAAUAAGUAAAUGUUUUGUGAGCAUAAUGUUGACUGAUAGAUAACGGUAAAAGAUUCCUAAUAAAAAUCUAUAAAUAUAUUAUAA